ACGAGAUCAAGAAUACCUUGUAAUAUAAGUUUAUAUCCGCUCCUCACCAAAUACUCCCUGGAUGCCUCCACUCGCCACACUAUGUAAUCAUCAUGUGGGAAUCUUGCCAACGGAAUACACAAAAUUCAUCUUACAUCACUGUCACAGAAGCUCCUAGCACUCAUGCAGCCUUCUCCAUUGGGAUUACCUUUCCUGUCCAGGCCUGCCAGCAAAGCUUAGCUUGUAAGAGGCCCUUAGUAGCCCUUACACUCUUCUAUGUAUAGGAAGGUACAUCGUUUUUCUUGGGCACGAUUAUGCCCGGGAUCUUGAGGAACAAGAAGUUGUGCAAAUUCAGCCCCUGAGGAAUUGACCCUACUUCCCUUAUUGCCUUCAGGAAUUCUUGUGUUUGAUUCAGAAAUAGAGAAGACUGUGAGAGCUAAUCGCAAGGAAACAAAGCUACAUAAAAAACAGUCAGAGGUGGUAGGGACUCAGAGUAACCCACUGCCGGAAAUAGAACCAGGUUUUCUUCCAGCAUCAUAUGUAUCCGAGUUAAGAAAGGAGAUCAUUGGGAUAAGGCAAAAAGAAGUAAAGUCUUUUUAUGACUAUUGGGAGCGAUUUAAGAAGUUGUGUGCAAGUUGCCUACAACAUGGUAUAACGGAACAGUCUCUACUCCAAUACUUUUAUGAAAGCUUGAAGCUCAUAGAAAUGAACAUGGUAGAUGCCGCCAAUAUAGGGGCAUUGGUCAACAUGACUCCCCAACAGGCAAGGGACUUAUCUCCACGAUGGCUGCAAAUACUCAGAAAUUUCGAGCCAAUCCUGAAUCCACUAGAAUGGUUCACCAGCUAAGUAAUUCAACUUUAAAAGAUAAAGUUGAUAGACUUACUAAUAUUGUGAAUUCUCUUUUUACAGUAAAAACAGGACUAGCCCGACAGUAUGGAAUUUGUGCAACACCCGAACAUACAACUGAUGCAUGCCUUAGUUUGUGUGACGAUACUAUGACCCAUUUAGAUGCUGUGGGGAACUUUCCUGGACUGCCCUAAAUGCGAUAUGACCCCUAUGCAAAUAUAUAUAACCCAGGAUGAAAAGACCAUCCUAACUUGAGUUAUGGGGCAAACCUACAGUAUAACAAGCCAUACCAAAACCAGUUUCCACAACAAACGCAAGAUUCAGCAAAUACAACGGUAAACUCUCUAUCUCCAAAAACAAACAAAAGAUUUUCAACAGAAAAUUGAGGCAUCUAUAAGAGAGUUAACUACAUCAAUUGAGAAAAUGAACUCACAAGGAAAGCUGCCAUCACAAACGGAAUCUAACCCAAGACAAUACGCAAAUGCAGUGACGUUACGAAGUGGAAAAGUACUGGAACCGAAUCCUGGCAGGAAUCUUGAUCAAGAUUUCACCUAGAAAAAGAAAGAGAACGAUGAACAGGUCUGAACAAAACAUCCAUUACCCAUAAUUCAACCACCGUUUCUAGGACGAUUGAGCCAACAUCGGUGAGGUAAGGGGAAAAAGAGAUCCUCGAAAAAUUUAGAAAUGUCGAGAUCAACAUACCAUUGUUGGAUGCCAUCAAACAAAUUUCAUGAUAUGCCAAGUUCCUUAAGGAGCUUUGCAUCAACAAGCAAAAGAUUUUCAACAGAAAAUUGAGGCAUCCAUAAGAGAGUUGACUACAUCAAUUGAGAAAAUGAACUCAUAAGGAAAGCUGCCAUCACAAACGGAAUCUAACCCAAGACAAUACGCAAAUGCAGUGACGUUACGAAGUGGAAAAGUACUGGAACCGAAUCCUGGCAGGAACCUUGAUCAAGAUUUUGCCUAGAAAAAGAAAGAGAACGAUGAACAGGUCUGAACGAAACCUCCAUUGCCCAUAAUUCAACCACCGUUUAUAGGACGAUUGAGCCAAUAUCGGAGAGGUAAGGGGGAAAAAGAGAUCCUCGAAAAAUUUAUAAAUGUCGAGAUCAACAUACCAUUGUUAGAUGCCAUCAAACAAAUUUCAUGAUAUGCCAAGUUCCUUAAGGAGCUUUGCAUCAACAAGCAAAAAUUGACUGGAAAUGAAAGAGUAAGUGUAGAUGAAAAUGUAUCUGCGAUAUUGCAGUGGAAGAUGCCAGUAAAAUGUAAAGACAAUGGCAUGUUUGCAAUACCAUGCAAAAUAGGCCACUUAGGAAUUAAAAAAGCUAUGAGUGAUUUAGGGCCCCCCAUAAAUGUAAUGCAUUUUUCUAUUAAUGAAUCACUUAACAUGGGUUUUUUUAUGGAAACAA